AACGAACGCUGGCGGCAUGCCUAACACAUGCAAGUCGAACGAGACCUUCGGGUCUAGUGGCGCACGGGUGCGUAACGCGUGGGAACCUGCCCUUAGGUUCGGAAUAACUCCCCGAAAGGGGUGCUAAUACCGGAUAAUGUUUUCGGACCAAAGAUUUAUCGCCUUUGGAUGGGCCCGCGUUGGAUUAGCUAGUUGGUAGGGUAAAAGCCUACCAAGGCGACGAUCCAUAGCUGGUCUGAGAGGAUGAUCAGCCACACUGGGACUGAGACACGGCCCAGACUCCUACGGGAGGCAGCAGUGGGGAAUAUUGGACAAUGGGCGAAAGCCUGAUCCAGCAAUGCCGCGUGAGUGGUGAAGGCCUUAGGGUUGUAAAGCUCUUUUACCCGGGAUGAUAAUGACAGUACCGGGAGAAUAAGCUCCGGCUAACUCCGUG
rnacentral:rRNA from 1 species